CGGACACGCGCACAUCUCACCAACAGGACGCCGAGCGUCCCCGUGUGCCACGGCAUCUGCACUAAUUCGUAUUGCGCGUGAUGUGAUGCAGGAAAGCAUCCCCCAGCCCCGUAUCCCCUCUAUUCAAACACUUUCAGUGGUUUGCGAUACACCUAUGCGAGACACGACGCGGUGGCUCUCCGUGCACGGCUUGUCGCUAGGAUCAGCUCGCUGUGUAUGUGUGUAUGUACUUGCCACAGCCGCGCCUGCCGCGUGCUCGCCGGCCUUUCCAUGCGUGGCGCUGCGUCGGCUCCUUCUUCACAAACACACACAGAUAUAUAUAUAUAUAUAUAUGCAUAUACGUAUACAGCACCUACACGUGCCCAACACAGGCAGACGUGUGCCCCUUUUGCGCCACACCGCUUGUGGAACCGGCAGUGAUCGCGUGUGGCGAGCACGUUCGUCUCCCAUCGCGCUCGCCCGCGCACUGACAGGCACGUAUCACGCGGCGCGACAUCCACACGUAUAUCAGCUUUCCUGAGCAGAAUAUCGACGCAUGGAUGCUCGUCACUCCUGUUGAGAAGCCGUGCAGGUAUGCGCCACACUCGUCGUUGCGCUUUUUGUGCGUUGACCCGGCGACGCGGAUGGCCUACCUGAGCGGAAAAGGCACGAGGGUGCGGGAGUGGAAGCACCGCAUGACGGUCUACGCCAUCAUGCCCAAGUGCGUGGAGGCAAGCCAUGCAAUGAAUCACCGCGCGUGGAAUGUCGAAGUGAGCGACUUGCUGAUUAUGACCAUAUCGGGUGUCGCCUACUCGCGACUGGACAGAAGCGACCCGGAAAGUGAGGCUGAGCUGCAGCGGCUUCCCAAGCUGCUCAGCGAAAGGUAUAAAAGCAGCGACCCCACCACUGGCGUCUACGUGGGAAGGCAAGAGAUAUCGUCGUCCUCGGAGAGGUUCGUCAACAAUAACGACGACGAGAAUUUCUUCGGGAGAGGCCGGGAGGACUGGAAACUGCAGUGCUGCUACUACAGUGCUAUGCACAACGUCGUCACACUGGUUGUCGACACGCUUAUCAGGGAUGGAUUGCGCUUUCCUCUUCACGGCGGCCUCCGCACCGGGGUCGACCCGCGCAAUGGGCUGCGACUGGCAAGCUUUCCGCUCUACCUUCAGCCAGCUUUUCAUCAACUUGCCGUCGCCGUCGUGUACACCUGCAUUUAUGGCAGGAUGAUGGGGUGCGACCCGCGCGGGCGCGUAGGGAUUUACAUUAGCCACGUGUACUCGUGCAUCACGGAGAGGGACAUUCUCUUUGUGGCGGAGAACGGCGCAGUUGCACGCUCUCUGCCGCUCUCCUUGAUGGAGGUGGUCGAGUACAACGGACCACUAGCAAGGGGUACCUCUGAUACCGGCGCGGCGACCACUUCCACACCCCUCCCCCCUAUAGAACCGUCUAUGCCUUACGCGGCGUUUCUCACGUCUGGCGAGUCGGCCGAUGUACUCUUCAUCCCCUGCAGCGCCUUCCUGGAUGAGUGCAACGACUGCUCCGCAUCCAUGGCAUCUGCGAUGCCGCAGAUCAGCGUAGGCACGGAAAUAAAUGCGCUGCACGUCUUGCGCACGCUUUCGAGCAACAGCUUGCAAGACGCCAACUCAAGUGAAGGAUGUGAAAACGAAUGCUCUGCGCCGAGGCACGAGGAGGCUGACUGCGCCAACUAUCUCGAUGGCUGUCCCGACUCGGUCUUCUCCGACCCUCACGCCCCUGCUGCUCCGCCCCUGCUGCUCCGCCCAUGAAGCCAGAUGGGCUCGCCUUCGUUACUCUGCCAAGUCAGCAGAGCCUAAGGGACUACGUCGAUGGAUUUCAGGCAACGCACAGGCGGGCGUUCAAGUGGCAGCCACUACCGGGGAAUCGGCAACUGACACCCGCGUUGCAGUCGGCUGCGUCGGUGGCGCACUCGCUGGGGUUGCGUGCACCCUCGCGUCAGGCCAUCACUUGCCGCAGCGAGUUCCUUUCUUUCUACUACGGCUCGGAAGUCGCUGCAAAGGCUGCGAGGAGGGCUGCAGAACCGGUGUAGGACGUCUAGCCAGCGACGCGCGUAAGGGGAGGGGGGAGGAUGCGAGGAACGCCCCUCCAGGGCCGCUGGUGGCGAUAGUGUGUGCACAGUAAUUUGUCUUCACACCAGCUGAACCGGUGCCCCUGCGUCUCUGUGCUCAUCGAUAUGGACAAGCGAGAGAAGGGCAUGCGCCAGUGACUGCUCACGGGAGACUGAUGUAGGUCGUGAGCAUCGCAGGUGUGAGUAGAGACCUGCGCGUGGGCGUCGCGCAGUCCUCCCCCACCCUCCUCCCUCCUUCUGUUGUUUUGUGUCUCUGCUUGAGCGCAUGUCCUUUUCGCCUCAGCGUGCGCGUGCGCUUCUGCGAGUCUCAUCACCUCCCUUGUGCACGGGAGGUGUCACAUGCACACACCCACUCUCUCUUGCCUUGUCUUGCCUUGCCUUGCCCGCAACAG
rnacentral:misc_RNA from 1 species